rnacentral:tRNA from 3 species
GGGCGCGUAGCUCAGCGGGAGAGCACCACCUUGACACGGUGGGGGUCACAGGUUCAAUCCCUGUCGCGCCCACCA